GGGGCCUUAGCUCAGCUGGGAGAGCGCUUCCAUGGCAUGGAAGAGGUCAUCGGUUCGAUCCCGAUAGGCUCCACCA
rnacentral:tRNA from 1 species